ACAUCCCCUGAGAAUUCUCUCGCCUGCCUUAGGCACUUAGGCUCCGGGAGAUUGCAAAUAACCUGCUUUCUUUCUGUUCCCGGGCUGCGUUCGGACUCCUGUCAGAUAGUAAAUCCUAAGUAAGGUGGCGUCGGACCCCUGUCAGAGAGUAAAUCUCAAGUAAGGUACCUGCCAUCGGCAGAUUUGAGCUUUCUUCUUGGACACCUAAUACCCACAGUCCUCCAGGCUCCGGUAGACUGCAAAUGACCUGCUUUCUUUCUGUUCCCGGGCUGCGUUUGGACCCCUGUCGGAUAGUAAAUCCCAAGUAAGGUACCUGCCCUCGGCAGAUUUGAGCUUUCUUCUUGGACACCUAAUACCCACAGUCCCCCAGUAAAUCCCAAGUAAGGUACCUGCCCUCGGCAGAUUUGAGCUUUCUUCUUGGACACCUAAUACCCACAGUCCUCCAGGAAUGGAACAGAUAAGAAGAUACUGAAAUUGGACGGUGCUGCCGUGCGGCUGCCGCAGGACACCUUUAAUAUCCCUGUUUCUCAGGCUGUAGAUGAAGGGGUUCAGCAUGGAGGUGAUCACCGUGUACAUCACUGAGGCCACUGCAGCCUUUCUCGGGGAAGAUGACACAUCUGAACUGAGGUACCCUCCAAAGCCUGUUCCGUAAAAUCAGCAAACAACUGACAGGAUAACUUCAGGAAGUGGGUAUUAAUUCUCACGGUAUAAGUGAAGACAUUAAGCACCAGAGUUUAAGUAGCUUGAUCCACUGAAAGAGAUUCAACUGUGUGGAACCUAUGCCGUGGAGAAUUGCUUUCUGCCAUUGUUAUCGUCCAGCAGUUGCCGAAUAGCUCUGACCUGAGCAAAGCAGUGAAACGCGGUGCUGUUGAGUGGGUUGCCACUGCACCUUUUUCAACUACUCUAGUCUUGUGGAGAAAAUACCCCUUCUAAAUUUUUUCUUCAUUGAAUACUCUCCCUCAGCUCCAGAGUACCAUAUAGAGUUUUCUUGUAUUUUAGAGUUACUGUUUUAUCAAAGUUUACCAGUCUUUUGUAUUACAUUUCUCCUGUCUAAAUCGACUGUGUGGUUUCUACUCAUUAUGGAUAUAGAUUGAUACAAACUCAAUAAAUAUUUUUGAAUGAAUAA
rnacentral:lncRNA from 1 species